rnacentral:lncRNA from 1 species
AAUGGGGCUGGAGAUUGAAUCAAUGGACAAUGGCCAUUUCUGCAGAUCAGCAAUUCAAGAACAGCUUGGCUGUUGGGUUCUGGCUUGGAGCCUCAAGCAUUGCAACCAUGUGUUGGCUGGGACUGCAGUCAUCUGAAGGUUUGAGGACUUCAGAUGCUGAACGAGAGGUUGAUGGAGUGAAGAGUGAGGUGAAGAAAAGCAAUAAUAGAACCAAGAUGAGAAUCGUCUGAAGUACAUUGGCCUACAAAGGACCAGAUUCUGGUUCAAGAUGUUGACGUACCCAGUGGAGAUCCUGAAGGAAUGUGAUGCUUAAAGUCAGAGUUG